ensembl:snRNA U6 U6 spliceosomal RNA
GUGCUCACUUCGGCAGCACAUAUACUAACAUUGGAAUGAUACAGAGAUUAGCGUGGCCCUUGCGCAAGGAUGACACGCAAAUUCAUGAAGCAUUCCAUAUUUUU